AACGAACGCUGGCGGCAUGCCUAACACAUGCAAGUCGAACGAGACCUUCGGGUCUAGUGGCGCACGGGUGCGUAACGCGUGGGAACCUGCCCUUAGGUUCGGAAUAACUCCCCGAAAGGGGUGCUAAUACCGGAUAAUGUCUUCGGACCAAAGAUUUAUCGCCUUUGGAUGGGCCCGCGUUGGAUUAGCUAGUUGGUAGGGUAAAAGCCUACCAAGGCGACGAUCCAUAGCUGGUCUGAGAGGAUGAUCAACCACACUGGGACUGAGACACGGCCCAGACUCCUACGGGAGGCAGCAGUGGGGAAUAUUGGACAAUGGGCGAAAGCCUGAUCCAGCAAUGCCGCGUGAGUGAUGAAGGCCUUAGGGUUGUAAAGCUCUUUUACCCGGGAUGAUAAUGACAGUACCAGGAGAAUAAGCUCCGGCUAACUCCGUG
rnacentral:rRNA from 1 species